CCAACAGGGAUUGCCUCAGUAACGGCGAGUGAAGCGGCAACAGCUCAAAUUUGAAAUCUGGCCCUAGGCCCGAGUUGUAAUUUGCAGAGGAUGCUUCCGGUGCGGCGCCGUCCAAGUCCCCUGGAACGGGGUGCCACAGAGGGUGAGAGCCCCGUCGGGUCGGCCGCCAAGCCUAUGUGAAGCUCCUUCGACGAGUCGAGUAGUUUGGGAAUGCUGCUCUAAAUGGGAGGUAGACCCCUUCUAAAGCUAAAUAUUGGCCAGAGACCGAUAGCGCACAAGUAGAGUGAUCGAAAGAUGAAAAGCACUUUGAAAAGAGGGUUAAACAGUACGUGAAAUUGUUGAAAGGGAAGCGCUUGUGACCAGACGUGCGCCGGGUGUUCAGCGGGCGUUCUCGCCCGUCUACUCGCCCUGGCGCAGGCCAGCGUCGGUUCGGGUGGGUGGACAAAGGUACCAGGAACGUGGCUCCCUCGGGAGUGUUAUAGCCUGGUGCGUCAUGCCCCCGUCCGGACCGAGGUUCGCGCUCUGCAAGGACGCUGGCGUAAUGGUCCCCAGCGGCCCGUCUUGAAACACGGACCAAGGAGUCGAGGUUUUGUGCGAGUGUCUGGGUGUCAAACCCGCACGCAUAAUGAAAGUGAACGCAGGUGGGAGCUUCGGCGCACCACCGACCGAUCCUGAAGUUUUCGGAUGGAUUUGAGUAAGAGCAUAGGGCCUCGGACCCGAAAGAUGGUGAACUAUACUUGGAUAGGGUGAAGCCAGAGGAAACUCUGGUGGAGGCUCGCAGCGGUUCUGACGUGCAAAUCGAUCGUCAAAUCUGAGUAUGGGGGCGAAAGACUAAUCGAACCAU
rnacentral:rRNA from 1 species